ACACCCUUUCCUUGCAGCUGAUAGUGAUGUUUCAACUAAAAAUUCAUUGCAAUACGAUUUUAAGACAAUUGAAGCUGCAACGAAUAAGUUUUUGAAGAUAAUAAGCUCGGCCAAGGUGGAUUUGGCCAAGUUUACAAGGGUAAGUUUUCAAAUGGAACAGAAGUGGUUGUGAAGAAGCUCUCGAAAGUGUCAGGACAAGACACAAAAAAGUUCAAGAAUGAGGCUGUUCAUGUAUCAGGCUAUUCUUUGUUAGGUGUUUUGGUUUCUGUUUGGAAGGAAAGGAAAAGAUUUUGAUCUACGAAUUUGUUCCCAACAAAAGCCUUGACUAUUUUCUAUUCGAUCCUGAGAAGCAGGGUGAGCUAGACUGGACUCAGCGAAACA